AUGUCUCGGCUAUCCAGCAUGAGUUUAAUUCCGAACUUCACAGUUGCCAAAUGUUCUAAGUGCCAUAGUUGUGUGCAAUCUAAGCAACCUCGAAAGCCUCAUAAGCCUGCCGAGGAGAGAAACUUGGCACCUCUAGAACUCAUACAUUCUGAUCUUUGUGAGAUGAAUGGUGUGUUGACAAAAGGUGGAAAGAGAUAUUUCAUGACUUUGAUUGAUGAUGCGACUAGAUUUUGCUAUGUUUAUUUGUUGCAAACUAAAGAUGAAGCGUUAGACCACUUUAAAAUCUAUAAAGCUGAAGUUGAAAAUCAACUAGAGAGAAAGAUCAAGCGUCUUAGGUCCGAUCGUGGUGGAGAGUAUUUUCCAAAAGUUUUUGAUGAAUUUUGUGAGGAACAUGGUAUUAUUCAUGAGAGGACGCCUCCCUAUUCACCUCAAUCAAAUGGAGUGGCCGAGAGGAAAAACCGCACAUUGACUGACUUGGUGAAUGCCAUGUUAGCCACUGCUGGUUUAUCUAAGGCAUGA
rnacentral:rRNA from 1 species